rnacentral:rRNA from 1 species
UUCUGGUUGAUCCCGCCGGACCUGACUGCUGUCGGAUUGGUACUAAGCCAUGCGAGUCAUUGUAGCAAUACAAGGCGGACGGCUCAGUAACACGUAGUCAACCUAACUCGUGGACGUGGAUAACCUCGGGAAACUGAGAAUAAACCACGAUAGAUCAUGAUGCCUGGAAUGGCUUAUGGUCCAAACAGUUUACUGCCAUGGGAUGGGACUGCGGCCUAUCAGCUUGUUGGUGAGGUAAUGGCCCACCAAGGCGAUUACAGGUACGGGCUCUGAGAGGAGAAGCCCGGAGAUGGGUACUGAGACACGGACCCAGGCCCUAUGGGGCGCAGCAGGCGAGAAACCUUAGCAAUGUGCGAAAGCACGACUGGGUCAGUCCGAGUGAUUCCUGAUAAAGGAGUCUUUUGCUUGUCCUAAAAGCACAGGUGAAUAAGGGGUGGGCAAGUCUGGUGUCAGCCGCCGCGGUAAUACCAGCACCUCGAGUGGUCAGGACGUUUAUUGGGCCUAAAGCAUCCGUAGCCGGCUUUGCAAGUCUUCGGUUAAAUC